GAUGAACGCUGGCGGCGUGCCUAAUACAUGCAAGUCGAGCGAAUGGAUUAAGAGCUUGCUCUUAUGAAGUUAGCGGCGGACGGGUGAGUAACACGUGGGUAACCUGCCCAUAAGACUGGGAUAACUCCGGGAAACCGGGGCUAAUACCGGAUAACAUUUUGAACCGCAUGGUUCGAAAUUGAAAGGCGGCUUCGGCUGUCACUUAUGGAGGGACCCGCGUCGCAUUAGCUAGUUGGUGAGGUAACGGCUCACCAAGGCAACGAUGCGUAGCCGACCUGGGAGGGUGAUCGGCCACACUGGGACUGAGACACGGCCCAGACUCCUACGGGAGGCAGCAGUAGGGAAUCUUCCGCAAUGGACGAAAGUCUGACGGAGCAACGCCGCGUGAGUGAUGAAGGCUUUCGGGUCGUAAAACUCUGUUGUUGGGGAAGAACAAGUGCUAGUUGAAUAAGCCGGCACCUUGACGGUACCUAACCAGAAAGCCACGGCUAACUACGUGCCAGCCGCCGCGGUAA
rnacentral:rRNA from 1 species